AGGGCACCACCAGGAGUGGAGCCUGCGGCUUAAUUUGACUCAACACGGGAAAACUCACCCGGCCCGGACACUGGAAGGAUUGACAGAUUGAGAGCUCUUUCUUGAUUCAGUGGGUGGUGGUGCAUGGCCGUUCUUAGUUGGUGGAGUGAUUUGUCUGGUUAAUUCCGAUAACGAACGAGACUCUAGCCUACUAAAUAGAUCGUCGGCUUACAAACGCCGGCGAGACUUCUUAGAGGGACGGGCGGUGAUUCAACCGCACGAAACAGAGCAAUAACAGGUCUGUGAUGCCCUUAGAUGUCCGGGGCCGCACGCGCGCUACACUGAAGUGAUCAGCGUGCUUUUUCAACCUACUCUGUCAAGAGUGGGGAACCCAAUGAACCUUCUUCGUGAUUGGGAUAGGGGAUUGUAAUUAUUCCCCUUGAACGAGGAAUUCCCAGUAAGCGCGAGUCAUAAGCUCGCGUUGAUUACGUCCCUGCCCUUUGUACACACCGCCCGUCGCUACUACCGAUUGAAUGUUUU
rnacentral:rRNA from 1 species